rnacentral:sRNA from 1 species
UUCUAGCCCCGAUUGUAGUGGAAAUCCUUUAUACCUGACAGGUUUUUAAAAACCUGUCAGGUAUAAAGAUUGAAGCGAAAAGCGGGAAUAAUG